CUAAUCUUUUUCUCUCACAGCCGCACCCUUCACCCCCUGUUCUCUCUCUCUCUUCACGCCUCUUCCUCCCUUCAUCCCUCUUCCAUUUUUGGCUAAAAUCCCACUUUCCUUUAGCCGUGCACAUACUUGCCAACUCCAUUUCCAUAUAAGUUUUCCUCUCUCCUUUUAUAUACGAUCUGGUCAAACACAAAUGGCCAAAACUACUUCUGAAAUUCUGAAAAAAAAAGAGUAACUUUUCAGUGAUUAGCAUAAGAUUCCUUCACGGGUCGAUUCAAACGGCUUUGAGUUUUUUGUUUGGAGCCAAAAAUCGUGAAAUUCAAAAAUAUAAAACCCUAGACUCCACCUAGAAAUACAUCCGGAAGUCAUAGUCGAAAAGGGUUUUUUUUUGGAGAACCACGGAACAUUUUACCCUAUUCGACAUUUCCACCUUCCACUACUACUUGAAGUUUUAGCCUUGUUCUAAUUCGAGUCUGUUUCGAGGUCUUUUUUUGGAGCAGCUUGAAUUUUUCUAAAAAAAAAUACCAAGAACAGUCUCACUUUAUUUUCUUGACCUCGAUUUUUAAAUACAAAAGCAUUCACUCUAUAUUACUCUAUUAUUGUUUCGAAUCCGUCAAUACAAGAGUAGAUUCGAGACCCCGACGACCCCAAUUCACUGCACCAACAGAAGGGACUCGUCAUUUCCCGCAUUCGGUGUUGAGCUAAAAAUCCCAACGUAAUUUCUCUCGAGUCAGCCCAUCAGCCCAUCCGCAGCAAAAAUCCAUAAAAAUUUUCGCUGGGCCGAGGCCCAUAACAGUGGCAGUAAACAGCAGCAGCAGAUCCGCGAUAGUCGGCCUAAAUGGGCCGAUUCAUUAAAUUCGAAAUACUGGGCCUAAAUCCCAACAGCAGCAUGAUCGUAGCAAUCUUAAAAUGGGCUGAGCCCAUUUACUUAUUAGCUCCUCUACUUUAUAUUUUUCGUGCAUUUAAUCUGUAUUAUUUGACUAACCCCUUACUUUGUUUGUUUUUCUUAGCUUAAAUGAAUUAUAAGGAAUUAGGGUGGUUAGUUUAGAAUGAUGGGUAGUUAAUCUAAGGGAAUUAAUAACUAAUUGCACAAAUUACAUUCUCUUCUAUUUAUGUUAAAACUAUUUAUAGAAUCUAUAA